CUCUCUCACCUUCAUUGUCAUUUUAGAAGAAACUACCAUUUGGUGUCCUGCUGAGACAAGAAAAUAUUUUCACAACUCAAGACAAGUUAAAUAUCCACUUAUGGGAACAGUGCUGAAGGCCUGGACUAGGAUGGUAGCAAUGGAGACAGACUAAAGAAAGAGAUGCAAUCAUUCCCUUGCAUAUGGUCCGUAUGAAGACGGGAUCAUUACAGGAAAGGUUCCAUAUGGAGAGGACUGAUGAAGCCAGCAUUAGGCGUGAUGGGGACGUGCAUAAAUGUGUAUGUUAUCCACUGAGACACAGAUUCUGAAGCACCAGAACAUUAAAGGCACUUCUACUUGUUUCUUCUACCCAGCUGAAAGGACAGAAAGCUUCUUCCACAGAGCCAGGACAGUCCAGGGGAACGUAGUCCUUCGACUGAAAGCUAUGCUUCCUAUUUUCUAACAAAGAGGCUAGGUCAUGUUGACCACCCAGUUUUGGCCUGCCUGGCUUGCUUUUUAUUCCAGCCUGGAGGACUUUCAGGGUUGAAUAUCCACUCAAGCCAAAUCCCAAGAAGCAUAACCUGCUAUUAGACUCUUGUCACUUAUCGGGUGAGGGGCUGUGCGGCUGUUCCAGUGCUUCCCCACUUGGGUCUUGUGACAUACCCUGGGGCCAAGCCAAGCCCUGGAGGUUAGCUUCUACAGUCUGUCCUUAAAGAGAGCUCAGGGAUGUCUGGACAGGACCUGGAGACAGUGCCCUGGGCCAGAGACCUCUGAUCUCUAGGCCAGCAGAGUCACCAUGCAGACAGAUUUAUGAGCCUUAGGCAAAACAGCUGGCAUUCCUGUGGCCAUCUUUCUACCCCUUCCUUUCCACAUGACCAUAUCCUUGGCCAGAUCUUCAUGUCCUUAGAUGGCUGUUGCCUUUGGGUAAAUUGGCAAUUAAGAUAAAUGAGCAUAUUUAUCAUGGCCUUGUGGUUACCCCUCCUGAAGCUCUCAGGGUGGCAAGCUGCCUGACCCUCCUACUAUGAACUUAGUAACUUUAAAACAGAGAGUAUCUUUUCUUGCCCAGCUGAAAUUUCCUCCCCAGGCGACCUACUUUUAGGAUUAAUAUGCGGGAAAGUCUGCAGUUUUGUUUUCAGUGAGGGUAGUUGUGUUUUCAAGGAAAGAGGUAGCGCCUUACAGUCAGAUUAGCCAGCUUUAUUUCUUUCAUCAACCCUUUACUGGCUUUCUAAAUUUUUUCAAGUAACUUCACCUCUCUGAGUUUCAUUUACCUCAUUACCUUCAUCAGGUAAGAUGACAUAUGAAAAGCCCUUCUCAAGCAACUGCAAAGUUCCAAUUAAUAGAAGAAAUUGUAAUGACUAUCUGUGUUUGAAGCGGGGCCAUUUUUCUUAUUUGGAAUUUUCACGUAUUAAAAAUAUGGAUCCUUUACACC
ensembl:lncRNA LINC01370 long intergenic non-protein coding RNA 1370